rnacentral:lncRNA from 1 species
GUGGAGGCUACCAACUAGGGAUGACUACCAUGAAGACCGAUUUGUCAUCUAUUAGUCAGCUGGUAAACUCGUACUCUACUUUGAUCAAAUAGUUGGAAUAGUAAAUGAGUCAACCCUCCAUAGCACUGAACCAGAGAAGAGUGGAACGUUACCUAGUGAUAUGGUUUAGAAUUUGUGAAAUGAUGGGUCAUGUAUGACGAUUACCACUAGAAGUGGAAAG